rnacentral:sRNA from 1 species
AACAUAGAAGGCUCUGAAUGUAACCCUGGUCUUUCUGUGGGGAGACCCUUUCCCCCUCUUCAGCUGCAGGAGAAUUUCUAGAAGGAGGAGUUGGCCAUGUUGAAAUGUUAUUUCGCUGCAACUAUUUAGCUUUAGUUGGUGGUGGAAAAAAGCCGAAAUACCCUCCCAACAAAGUAAUGAUCUGGGAUGACCUGAAGAAGAAGACUGUUAUUGAAAUAGAAUUUUCUACAGAAGUCAAGGCAGUCAAACUGCGGCGAGAUAGAAUUGUGGUGGUUUUGGACUCCAUGAUUAAGGUGUUCACAUUCACACACAAUCCCCAUCAGUUGCACGUCUUCGAAACCUGCUAUAACCCCAAAGGCCUCUGUGUCCUUUGUCCCAAUAGUAACAACUCCCUCCUGGCCUUUCCGGGCACGCACACGGGCCAUGUGCAGCUCGUGGACCUGGCCAGCACGGAGAAGCCACCCGUGGACAUUCCUGCACACGAGGGUGUCCUGAGCUGCAUUGCACUCAACCUGCAGGGAACAAGAAUUGCAACUGCAUCCGAGAAAGGGACCCUUAUAAGAAUAUUUGAUACUUCAUCAGGGCAUUUAAUCCAGGAACUGCGAAGAGGAUCUCAAGCAGCCAAUAUUUACUGCAUUAACUUCAAUCAGGAUGCGUCCCUCAUCUGCGUAUCCAGCGACCACGGCACAGUGCAUAUUUUUGCAGCUGAAGAUCCAAAAAGGAAUAAACAGUCCAGUUUGGCCUCAGCCAGUUUCCUUCCAAAAUACUUCAGUUCCAAGUGGAGUUUCUCCAAGUUUCAGGUUCCCUCAGGCUCUCCGUGCAUUUGUGCCUUUGGAACAGAGCCAAACGCCGUCAUUGCAAUUUGUGCA